rnacentral:rRNA from 1 species
AGUGAACGCUGGCGGUAGACCUAACACAUGCAAGUCGAGCGGCAGCACAGUAAGAGCUUGCUCUUACGGGUGGCGAGUGGCGGACGGGUGAGGAAUACAUCGGAAUCUACUUUUUCGUGGGGGAUAACGUAGGGAAACUUACGCUAAUACCGCAUACGACCUACGGGUGAAAGCAGGGGAUCUUCGGACCUUGCGCGAUUGAAUGAGCCGAUGUCGGAUUAGCUAGUUGGCGGGGUAAAGGCCCACCAAGGCGACGAUCCGUAGCUGGUCUGAGAGGAUGAUCAGCCACACUGGAACUGAGACACGGUCCAGACUCCUACGGGAAGCAGCAGUGGGGAAUAUUGGACAAUGGGCGCAAGCCUGAUCCAGCCAUACCGCGUGGGUGAAGAAGGCCUUCGGGUUGUAAAGCCCUUUUGUUGGGAAAGAAAAGCAGCAGGUUAAUACCCCGCUGUUCUGACGGUACCCAAAGAAUAAGCACCGGCUAACUUCGUG